GUCUGGAUGGCGUAGUGGUCAGCGCAUUUGCCUUGUAAGCAGAAAACCCAGGUUCGAAUCCUAGUCUGGCACA